GCCAUAUGGUAUCCGUUUCCCCUCAACAUUUUGCUGGCCCACACAAGCAGUCAUCUGUGAGAUGUUGAUGAAACUUCCCUUAGAACCAGCUGUGACCAUAGCCUUCAAAUUGUUGCUCUCAGACAAACUCUUCUGAGCACUGCUGCCAGCGUCAUCACGAGCCUUGUUCAAAACCUGGUUAACUCUGUUCUCGAAGGACUCCAUCAUAGUUCGACCGGGCUCAGGUUCUAAUGCCUUUUCCUGUGCCUGUUUAAUAAGAUCUUUGACAUCAUUUUUAGCCUUUGAGAUGGUCUCAUUGAUCUUCUCCAUUGUUGCUGCAUCAGCAAUUGUAUCUCCGAUUCCGAUGCUAAAACCUUGUUGUAGAAGCCAAUAAU
rnacentral:misc_RNA from 1 species